rnacentral:rRNA from 1 species
UAGGGAAUAUUAGUAAUGGGCGAAAGCCUGAACUAGCAACACCGCGUGUGCGAAGAAGGCCUUCGGGUUGUAAAGCACUUUUUGAGAGGAUGAGGAAGGACGGUACUCUCAGAAUAAGUCUCGGCUAACUACGUGCCAGCAGCCGCGGUAACACGUAGGGGGCGGGCGUUAUCCGGAAUUACUGGGUGUAAAGCGCGUGUAGGUGGUUCUGUAAGUAGGGCGUGAAAGCUCCUGGCUCAACUGGGAGAGGCCGUUCUAAACUGCAGAGCUAGAGGAUGGUAGAGGGAGGUGGAAUUCCGGGUGUAGCGGUGGAAUGCGCAGAUAUCCGGAGGAACACCAGUGGCGAAAGCGGCCUCCUGGACCAUUCCUGACACUCAGACGCGAAAGCUAGGGUAGCAAACG